AACAGGAUAUGAAAAUAUCCAUGUUGAUUCCUCUGGGAGAAUUUAAGCUUAUAUUCAGAAAUAUAAAAUAAAUCUUGCCAUGAAACUUGUUCUUGUUUUUAGGUUAUAUUUUGUCUUAUUUAAUAUGAUUUAAAUCCUUUAAGUGUUUGUUUUGUUAUUGUGUUUGUAAAUAUGUUUUUGUUUUGUUUUACCAAAACCAGUCUCCUGUAAAUUAUAUCUUCCCUGAUAGCAAAAGAUGUUAAAUCAAUGUGGAAUUAGGGUCAAAAAGAUUAACUUUUGGUUAAGGUCGACGAUUGAUGGUGGAUCAACCAAUCAUUCAGUUGUAGCCAAUGUUGAAAAGAUGUAAUUGAAUGUUGUUUUGAAGACAAAUUUUAAUGAUCGAAAAGCCAACGCCGCUGUGUGUA